rnacentral:lncRNA from 1 species
UAGGAUGUUCCGUGCCUUUUCUUAAUAUAGGAGACUGUGUUGCCCGGGAGCUCAAAGAAGCUAAGUUUAGACCACUUGAAGCUGGGAGUUGUGUCCAAAUCGGGGUCCUGGCAAAUAGCUCAAGUUCAACAGCAGCCUUCUACAAGAAAAAACUACAGAGCCAGGUAUGUUUCUUAACGUAUGAAAAUCUCAAACCUUUCGACAGACAUAACACAUGACAUGUUAUUGUGUAACUAGAAAUGUUUCUCCAACUCAUACAGAGAACACGUGUUUUUUGGGACAGGGAUUUGAGGUUGUGUUACCAGACAAUCCAACAAUGGAGCACGCAGUGCUCCCAGCAAUAGAAGCAUUACAGAAGAAAGACGUCGAAGGAGCACAGAAUCUGUUAAGAAUUGCAAUCCACUUACUUUUAAUGAGCGCGGUGAACACCAUAAUCCUUGCUGCUGAUGAGCUGAGAAAUAUUUUGCCGCCUAAUGAUCCACUUCUCAAGAGAUGCGUCGACCCUAUGGAUGCUUUGGUGCGAUCAACUAUAAGCCGGGGAAGGACUUCUCAGAAAGCUGUAUAUCACAAGAAAAACUAAUGUAAAAAUCAAGAAAUCAAGAUUCACGAACGAUAAGUAGCAUUGCCUAUGUUCAGAUCACCUGCACCUCUUCCUGUGUUUCGUUGUCUGAUGACCCGAAGAAACAACACAAUUGCGCAGAUAAUGAACGUCUGUCAAUAUAGAUUAGCAUCUCUUCUUGUUUAAGAAUCCCCCUGUUAUAUAAAUGUAAUAUAUAUUGGCACAAUAACUUAUCCAGGCUAAUGAAUACUCAUUAUAACAUAUCUACCUAAAUAAAACUGAUAACUGGUGUUUAUUAAAUUGAAUGCUUGUUCUAGACAUUUUAAAAUAGUUAUUAAUAUUAGGUCUGCAUUCAAGUGAAAUUACAAGUCCAAAGCAGUGACAGUAUGUUACCUCAACUGGAGCCUAGUUAUAACAUAAGUGAUGUAGAUGUCAAUUAUUAAGUUAAACAUCCUUCAUCUAAUAUCUUUCAGUUUUUUUUGUGCCUCUUAAAAUUUUAAUGGAAGUGAUAUGUUUUGGUGUGGACUAGGUCACAAGUCCCGCUAAUCAGUGGAAACUUAUAAACAUCACAAAUCCCUAAUAGUUUUAUAUAGCAGCACUCAACUAUACAGAGAAUUACGAAGAAAUACUCAUUGUUCGUAGACACAAGAUCGAUAAGAGGGUAAAGAUACUAUGGUAAGAGGGCAAUGACGCCAUGGCACAAGGAGAAAUUACAAGAAUGGAUUCUUAAAGACUUAGGUUUAGGGUUUUACUAGUAUUUACGCCUGCCGAAAUCUUAGGCCCGCCAGUAGAUCUGUACAUUUUUUGGACCAGAGCGCGCGCGCACACACAUAUAU